rnacentral:rRNA from 1 species
UAGAAUGGCCAGAGCGGACUGAUUGCACCCAAUCCCGUCCAAUCUCAGAAGCUAAGUAGGCCUGGGCCCAGCUAGUACCUAGAUGGGAGACCACCUGGGAAUCUCAGGUGCUGUAAGCC